GAUGAACGCUGGCGGCGUGCCUAAUACAUGCAAGUCGAGCGAACGGACGAGAAGCUUGCUUCUCUGAUGUUAGCGGCGGACGGGUGAGUAACACGUGGAUAACCUACCUAUAAGACUGGGAUAACUUCGGGAAACCGGAGCUAAUACCGGAUAAUAUUUUGAACCGCAUGGUUCAAAAGUGAAAGACGGUCUUGCUGUCACUUAUAGAUGGAUCCGCGCUGCAUUAGCUAGUUGGUAAGGUAACGGCUUACCAAGGCAACGAUGCAUAGCCGACCUGAGAGGGUGAUCGGCCACACUGGAACUGAGACACGGUCCAGACUCCUACGGGAGGCAGCAGUAGGGAAUCUUCCGCAAUGGGCGAAAGCCUGACGGAGCAACGCCGCGUGAGUGAUGAAGGUCUUCGGAUCGUAAAACUCUGUUAUUAGGGAAGAACAUAUGUGUAAGUAACUGUGCACAUCUUGACGGUACCUAAUCAGAAAGCCACGGCUAACUACGUGCCAGCAGCCGCGGUAAUACGUAGGUGGCAAGCGUUAUCCGGAAUUAUUGGGCGUAAAGCGCGCGUAGGCGGUUUUUUAAGUCUGAUGUGAAAGCCCACGGCUCAACCGUGGAGGGUCAUUGGAAACUGGAAAACUUGAGUGCAGAAGAGGAAAGUGGAAUUCCAUGUGUAGCGGUGAAAUGCGCAGAGAUAUGAAGGAACACCAGUGGCGAAGGCGACUUUCUGGUCUGUAACUGACGCUGAUGUGCGAAAGCGUGGGGAUCAAACAGGAUUAGAUACCCUGGUAGUUCACGCCGUAAACGAUGAGUGCUAAGUGUUAGGGGGUUUCCGCCCCUUAGUGCUGCAGCUAACGCAUUAAGCACUCCGCCUGGGGAGUACGACCGCAAGGUUGAAACUCAAAGGAAUUGACGGGGACCCGCACAAGCGGUGGAGCAUGUGGUUUAAUUCGAAGCAACGCGAAGAACCUUACCAAAUCUUGACAUCCUUUGACAACUCUAGAGAUAGAGCCUUCCCCUUCGGGGGACAAAGUGGCAGGUGGUGCAUGGUUGUCGUCAGCUCGUGUCGUGAGAUGUUGGGUUAAGUCCCGCAACGAGCGCAACCCUUAAGCUUAGUUGCCAUCAUUAAGUUGGGCACUCUAAGUUGACUGCCGGUGACAAACCGGAGGAAGGUGGGGAUGACGUCAAAUCAUCAUGCCCCUUAUGAUUUGGGCUACACACGUGCUACAAUGGACAAUACAAAGGGCAGCGAAACCGCGAGGUCAAGCAAAUCCCAUAAAGUUGUUCUCAGUUCGGAUUGUAGUCUGCAACUCGACUACAUGAAGCUGGAAUCGCUAGUAAUCGUAGAUCAGCAUGCUACGGUGAAUACGUUCCCGGGUCU
rnacentral:rRNA from 1 species